GACGAACGCUGGCGGCGUGCUUAACACAUGCAAGUCGAGCGGUAAGGCCUUUCGGGGUACACGAGCGGCGAACGGGUGAGUAGCACGUGGGCGAUCUGCCCUGCACUUCGGGAUAAGCCUGGGAAACUGGGUCUAAUACCGGAUAUGACCUCCUAUCGCAUGGUGGGUGGUGGAAAGAUUUAUCGGUGCAGGAUGGGCCCGCGGCCUAUCAGCUUGUUGGUGGGGUAAUGGCCUACCAAGGCGACGACGGGUAGCCGACCUGAGAGGGUGACCGGCCACACUGGGACUGAGACACGGCCCAGACUCCUACGGGAGGCAGCAGUGGGGAAUAUUGCACAAUGGGCGAAAGCCUGAUGCAGCGACGCCGCGUGAGGGAUGACGGCCUUCGGGUUGUAAACCUCUUUCAGCAGGGACGAAGCGCAAGUGACGGUACCUGCAGAAGAAGCACCGGCUAACUACGUG
rnacentral:rRNA from 1 species